rnacentral:rRNA from 1 species
GACGAACGCCGGCGGCGUGCUUAACACAUGCAAGUCGAACGGUGAUGCUCCAGCUUGCUGGAGUGGAUCAGUGGCGAAAGGGUGAGUAACACGUGAGCAACCUGCCCCAGACUCUGGAAUAAGCGCUGGAAACGGCGUCUAAUACUGGAUACGAAAAUGGCCCGCAUGGGCAUGGUUUGGAAAGUUUUUCGGUUUGGGAUGGGCUCGCGGCCUAUCAGCUUGUUGGUGAGGUAAUGGCUCACCAAGGCGACGACGGGUAGCCGGCCUGAGAGGGCGACCGGCCACACUGGGACUGAGACACGGCCCAGACUCCUACGGGAGGCAGCAGUGGGGAAUAUUGCACAAUGGGCGAAAGCCUGAUGCAGCGACGCCGCGUGAGGGAUGACGGCCUUCGGGUUGUAAACCUCUUUCAGCAGGGAAGAAGCGAAAGUGACGGUACCUGCAGAAGAAGCACCGGCUAACUACGUG